AGGGACCCGACCAAAGGAGUGGAGGCCCCUCUCCCAGAUUCCAUGGCAGCAGAGCGGGGGACAAUGGACUCCACAGGGGAGGGUCCCGGAGGGCUUCUCAGAGGAGGCGAUGUCAGCUUUGGGCUUUGGAAGAUGAGCAUGAUUUUUCCAGGUGGUAGGAGCAGGUGUUCCUGGCAGAGAACCAGUGUGGGCAAAUGCCUAGAACUGGCAUGGGCGUGACAUUGAGCAGCCACAAUAUGAUAAGUAUGCAGUGAGCAUCUGGUAUAUUCUGGGACUGUGCCAAGUGCUUAUGGCACAAAAGUGAGUAAGGGAGGCAGACUGAGCUGAGCUAAGGACACCCUGGAAUGUCAGGGCUGGGGUUGUUCUCUAAGGGGUCAGCAGGGCAGAUGGGAAUAGCCCAGGGUGGGGCCUGUGGGCGGGCAGAGUGUUUGUUUGACCUGGGCGACUCAGAAGAGAGAGCUUUCAUUUUCUCCUUCGAUUCUUCAGCUCUAUCUGGGCCCAGAGGGUGUGUCUGGUUAUUGCAGAGACGCCCAGCUGGGGACCAGAUCCUCACAGCGAGAGGAGCUGCUUCGUGCUCACCCUCAGCCCAAGGAAGACUCCUGGGUAAGCAGGGGAGGGGAGGACCCCGCCCACCUCCCCAUCCUCAGGACCACUUUCUGAGAAAAGCGUGGUUGUCACGGAUUUACGGAGGAAGGGAAACCAAAGCUCCGAGAGCCCAGGGAGUGGAGCCAAGGCCACACAUUGAGCAGCGGCAGAGCCUGGGUUUGGAGGCAGGCUUGUCUGACUGCUUCCUCCCACCCCCCGGGCCCCCAGGCAGCACAGAGCUCGGUGUGCCCAGCUCCGGAUCUGAACUCCUGAGACCAGCUGGCUGUCCCUUGUCUGAUGAGCUUCUCCUUGGGCCCCAACGGGAGAACAGGCCUCUGACUUGGCUUGGAGGGAGCUGGAGGGAGGGCGAAGCCACACCUCGUUCCAGCCUGACCCAGACGGAGCGGAAGGGAGAUUCCUGAGACCCUGCGGCUGCCACCAUGAGCUCAUUAGUCUUCUGCUGCUUGGAUAUAGAGGACUUUUUGAAGGCUGUCAUUAAGUGUUUGCAAAAUGUAAUAAAGAAGGAGGAGAUGAAACGUCUGUUCACUCAAGUCCUGGACAGAAUUCUGGCUAAGAUCCGUUUGCCCAGGGAAGAGGCAGAUGCACUGCGUGAGUAUCUGGAGGAGCGGGAAACAGACUUGAGCAUGAAGAAUAAAGAGCAGCUGGAUAUAAAGAGGUUUUUGAUGAGGUUCCCUCACAUAAAACUGGAGCUCAAGGAGCGCAUAGGAAAGCUCCAUGCGCUUGCGGACAAGGCUGACAAAGUACACAGGGACUGCACCAUCUCCAAACUGGUGGCCACCUCCGCUGAUGCUGUGUCCAGCAUCCUGACCAUCGUCGGUCUGUCUCUGGCACCCGUGACAGCAGGGGUCAGCCUAGCACUCUCUGCCACUGGGUUGGGGCUGAGAAUAGCGGCUUUUGUGACCAGUGUGUCCACCGACAUUGUGGACAGGAUCAGUCUUUCAUUAAGAGAAACUGAAGCCAGUUGCCUUCUGCCAACUGACAUCGAAAAAUGGCACGUGGUCGUGCAGGUUCUAGUUAGGAACACCCCCAAAAUUGUUGACAAUGCACGGGUACUUGCAAAAGCCAUAGAACGCGUUGAAACCAACAUUAGAGCCAUGCAGCGGGUCAGAGUCAACCCUUGCUUAGAAGCUCGUUCAAAUCUCUUAAGGACCGAUGAGGGAAUCGAAGCCUUAAGCAGCAUACCGAGGAAGGCAGCUUUCAGAGGCAGUGCUCUGGCAAUGACCAAAAACGCCCGGAUCAUGCCUAUAGCCAGUACAGGUGUCGGCCUUCUGGUGGACGUGGGCUUCCUGGUGAAGGAGUCAAUCCACUUGCACAAAGGGGCAAAGACACAGUUGGCUGAAGCGCUGAGGCAGCGUGCCCAGAAGCUGGAGGAUCUCACCUGCAUCUGUGACAGUCUGCAGGAGGGCCCGACUCCGCCACCCCCAGAGUAGUGCACGGACCAGACCCAUGUCCAGGGCCAAGACUAGGAGAAAUCAGAAUUGGUGUCUUUCCUUGCAACUAAGAAGACUGAUGGAUACGUCCAACAGCUGGAUCCUGUUUUUACUUCCUUCGUUAACAAGACUAUCUUAGGAACAACAAUUUCUGUGAAGGGUUUCAACCUACGAAGGAUACCCAGCGACACUCCAGUGACUGGCUGCUCCCGUAUCCUGGGUCCAGGAGGGAAGACUAUAGGAGCAGAAUUGCACCUGACCCAUGGAUGUGCACUUGCCUGAAUGCCCUUCCUCUCACCUCUGAGCUGUUCGAGGACUCGGUUCCACUGUCACUGCAUCAGAAGCCCUCCCUGGCCCGCCACAUCACCCCACCGUGAUGAACAGGAAGUGACCUGAGCUCGUGGCGGGGGGUCUCAUUCCCUACACAGGAGUUCCUUGCAGGCAAGAAGCCAUCAGAGUUUUUCUCUCAAUAUCAAGCUUCCACAGACUCUCUGCGGUGGAAAUAUUUGAAAACAAUCAAGUGGAACCCACUGGGGAUGCUGUGUCCUUUCGAAUGCAGUCCACAGCUUCUCCCUGGACAAGGCAGACCGCUAUGUUUAGAAUCAUGGAGACCCAGCUACAGUCAUGAGAUAAUCCUGCCUGAGCAGGAGAACCAGGAACUAUUGCAUAAUGAGGGCUAAGCGCGUGGGUAGGGUAAGAGGGUGGGGAGGGGUGGGUUGCACCAUCAGCCUUUUAGGAAGGAUGGCUUGUCUCCAAGGGGGACGCACAAUGGCUCUGAGAUCCACCUUCCAUACCUAGGGGGCCUUCAAGCUGAACCACCUGACCUGGUCUGACUUCAAUUGACCGCAGCUACAAAAAGCAGCAGGCAAGCUGUUUCCCAGCCCGAGCAUUGAAGCGGACACUGACCAUUAGCACAGAGAGACGCACUCAAAGCGCAGAAGACAGUUGUGCUAGGUGGUGACUGUGGUGCUGUAGGCCCAGAGCAGCCCGCUCUCUGAGCCAUCCUCGACGGGACAGGGAAGAGGUGCCUCGUCUGGCAGGUCACAGACUCCCUCCAGCUUCCAUCUGGCUGUGGUUCUUACCAGCAGUGACCUUGGCCUCAGGGGAGGGAGUGGGGCCAUCCUCCUAAGCCCCAUUCAAGGGACGGCAGAGACACCAUCCCUUCCAAGUGAAUAAACGCCUCCCCCGAGCCCCCGAGGCAGCCCACUCCACAGCCAUACGGAGAACAGAGCAUCCUUCUGGGGUCUGUGUCAAACAAAGGCUGACAUGCCUCAGACCCCACCACCAACAGCAUCAAGGCACACCCAGCCUGAAAAUAUCUCACCUGGACUGGUAAAGGUUAAGUCAUCUGACGCCUGGCACUGGCCACUGUAUGGAGUGAUAGGAACUCCCCUAGCAGGUGACUGGCUUCUAAGACACUACGGCCAUUUCACAAAACAAUUUGGCAUCACCCGGUAACGUUAGUGGGAGCAUAACAUUGGACCCAUCAAUCCUAGUCCUAAACACUCACCCUAGAAAUUGCUUGUCUGUGCACACAAGGAAACAUGUACAAGUGCUCAUAGCACAGCUGUUUAUAUGAACAAUCAGGAACAGGACUCCUGCUGUGGCUCAGCAGGUUAAGGACCUGACAUAGUGUCCGUGAGGAU